rnacentral:rRNA from 1 species
CUCGAGGCCAGAUCUAGAGUUUGAUCCUGGCUGAGGACGAACGCUGGCGGCGGGCCUAAUACAUGCAAGUCGAACGAGAAGCCCCGAGCUUGCUUGGGGUGGAAAGUGGCGCACGGGUGAGUAACACGUAGGCAACCUACCCCUGAGUGGGGAAUAACUUCGCGAAAGUGGAGCUAAUACCGCAUAUUGUCCUAGAGGCGCAUGCUUUUGGGAUGAAAGAUUUUAUCGCUCAGGGAUGGGCCUGCGGCAGAUUAGGUAGUUGGUGAGGUAAAGGCUCACCAAGCCUGCGAUCUGAAGCUGGUCUGAGAGGAUGAUCAGUCACACUGGCACUGAGACACGGGCCAGACUCCUACGGGAGGCAGCAGUAAGGAAUAUUGCGCAAUGGGCGAAAGCCUGACGCAGCCACGCCGCGUGAAGGAAGACACCCCUACGGGGCGUAAACUUCUUUUAUAUGGGAAGAAGACCCUGGUCGCCAGGGUUUGACGGUACCAUAUGAAUAAGCACCGGCUAACUCCGUGCCAGCAGCCGCGGUAAUACGGAGGGUGCAAGCGUUGUCCGGAUUCACUGGGUGUAAAGGGUGUGUAGGCGGAACUGCAAGUCAGAGGUGAAAGCCUGCGGCUUAAC